GAUGAGUGGGCUCAGGACUUCUGCGCGAGCGCACGUUGUCUGAGGUAGGCGGCUGGGCGUCUUCUGCGUCUGGGCUGGCCCCGGUCGCUCUGGAAGAGCAGGCAGGACCCUCGACCCUUGCUCAGGAUGCUGUGUUCACUGCUCCUUUGUGGAUGUCUGUUACUGAUCACUGGUUAUGCUCAUGACGAUGACUGGAUUGACCCAACAGAUAUGCUUAAUUAUGACGCUGCUUCGGGAACCAUGAGAAAAUCGCAGGCAAAAUAUGGUACCUCAGAGAAGAAGGAAGUGAACCCUGACUUGUCAGAUGCCCAGGAGUUGUCAGACUGUUUGCAGAGACUGGAUUCUUUAACGCACAAGGUUGAUGAUUGUGAAAAGAAGAAAAUGAAAGACUAUGAAAGUCAAAGUAAUCCUGUUUUUAGGAGAUAUCUAAAUAAGAUUUUAAUUGAAGCGGGCAAGCUUGGACUUCCUGAUGAAGACAGAGUGGAUGUGCGUUAUGAUGCUGAGAUCCUCCUUACAAGACAGACACUGUUGGAGAUACAGAAGUUCCUCAGUGGAGAGGAAUGGAAGCCAGGAGCCUUGGAUGAUGCACUAAGUGAUAUUUUA
rnacentral:lncRNA from 1 species